UACGUAGGGUGCGAGCGUUAAUCGGAAUUACUGGGCGUAAAGCGCACGUAGGCGGAUUGCUAAGUCAGGGGUGAAAUCCUGGAGCUCAACUCCAGAACUGCCUUUGAUACUGAGGAUCUUGAGUUCGGGAGAGGUGAGUGGAACUGCGAGUGUAGAGGUGAAAUUCGUAGAUAUUCGCAAGAACACCAGUGGCGAAGGCGGCUCACUGGCCCGAUACUGACGCUGAGGCACGAAAGCGUGGGGAGCAAACAGG
rnacentral:rRNA from 1 species